GCAAGUGUGGUGUAGUGGUUUGAGUGUUAGACUGCGACUCUGGAGACCAGGGUUCAAAUCCUUGCUCAGUCA